rnacentral:rRNA from 1 species
CAGGUCUUGACAUCCUUUGCCACUUCUAGAGAUAGAAGGUUCCCCUUCGGGGGACAAAGUGACAGGUGGUGCAUGGUUGUCGUCAGCUCGUGUCGUGAGAUGUUGGGUUAAGUCCCGCAACGAGCGCAACCCUUGAUCUUAGUUGCCAGCAUUUAGUUGGGCACUCUAAGGUGACUGCCGGUGACAAACCGGAGGAAGGUGGGGAUGACGUCAAAUCAUCAUGCCCCUUAUGACCUGGGCUACACACGUGCUACAAUGGAUGGUACAAAGGGCUGCGAGACCGCGAGGUUUAGCCAAUCCCAUAAAACCAUUCUCAGUUCGGAUUGCAGGCUGCAACUCGCCUGCAUGAAGCUGGAAUCGCUAGUAAUCGCGGAUCAGCAUGCCGCGGUGAAUA